rnacentral:rRNA from 1 species
GGCACUACGGUGCUGAAGCAACAAAUGCCCUGCUUCCAGGAAAAGCCUCUAAGCAUCAGGUAACAUCAAAUCGUACCCCAAACCGACACAGGUGGUCAGGUAGAGAAUACCAAGGCGCUUGAGAGAACUCGGGUGAAGGAACUAGGCAAAAUGGUGCCGUAACUUCGGGAGAAGGCACGCUGAUAUGUAGGUGAAGUCCCUCGCGG